UCCGUAGGCGGGCAAUUAAGUCAGAGGUGAAAUCCCACAGCUCAACUGUGGGACUGCCUUUGAUACUGGUUGUCUUGAGUUAUAGUGAAGUAGAUAGAAUAUGUAGUGUAGCGGUGAAAUGCAUAGAUAUUACAUAGAAUACCGAUUGCGAAGGCAGUCUACUAACUGUAUACUGACGCUAAUGGACGAAAGCGUGGGGAGCGAACAGGAUUAGAUACCCUGGUAGUCC
rnacentral:rRNA from 1 species